UACGUGCACAGAGAUCGGCGUACAAUUAUGCAAAGCGUGGCUCAUUUUAAAUGUAGAAACGCCAACUACCAUUUAUGGUAGGUACCACCACCAUCACCGAUACUACCGCCUGGGAAUACGAGUGUGCAGGAUGCUCGAGGUUACACGAGCGCGCGUUGGAAACGGUGGAUGGUGUACGCCGGGAGCGAUACCGCGCUUUUUCAUGAAAAUUCGUCGUCGUCUUCGUUGGCGUGAUCGUGAAAUUAUUCAGUGGACUCUCAUCCGGACGGUAUUCGGUAUUCCCAGUCAGCGAUCUAAGUGCGCCUAAGUUAAGAUCGUUUAAAGAAGUUUGUUAAGUAAGGAACUGAGCGAGACUGUGUAAUCACCGGAAGGCGGUCGUUACCUUCGACGGUUUUGCAUGCGAAUCGUUGCGAAAAUUUUGAUUCUUAUUUUUUUGAAUCACCCGCUAUGGGAGUGCAUAUCUGCGCAACGGCUCAAUCGGCGGAGUACGUUUUUCAGAUUGAUCUUAAUUCCUGAAUCAUCGCGGAUGAAAAUAAAUCUUCGUAUUUAACUCGCUUGAUCCUAUCACGCAAUUUUAAUCGAGGAGGAACGAGGAAUUCUUGGUUGUAUCUAUUAUGGGGCAAUGCACUCACUGUUGUAAGAAUGAUUACUGUAAAAUUUUCUAAAUUUUAAUCAAUUGAAAUUAUUGUUCUAUAUAUUUUAAUUAAUUUAAUUAUUAAAUAGUUUAAUUAAAAAUUGUUGCAUUCUACAUCUUUGAUAAUUCGAGUUGCAAUUUUGAGUGGUAAUGCUAGAGAAAUAAGGAAGGAGGAAGAAGAAACAUUUGCAACAACAUCAAAUGCAUUACAGUUGAUAACCACUCGAGGCUUCUAAAUGAAAAUUGCCAUUGUAAUGGGGAGCAAACAUACGAAGCUAUUUUUCUUAUCGUGUGAUUAUUCCAGAACGCUACUUUACAUUCUUUCGCGUAGCAUCAUAAAAGGCGCGAGAAAGAAAGGGGGACAAGAAGUAGAGAAAACGAAAGCUAGGGAUGUUUCUCAGGUUUUUCUUCCCAUUUUUUCUUCUUUUUUUCUCUCUCUCUUACGGAAAAAGCUGCGAAGGAAGAAACGGGAUACAAGAUUCUUUUAGGAAAGAGGUCGCUAUUAAAAAGGAUCGAAGAUUAAACGCGAAAAAAAGGAAAUGGAAGAACGAAUUAUACGAAAAAAAAUAUAUAUAUUUUAUCUAAUCCUAUAUAAAUGGAGAUUUCCUGCAUUCUAGCAAGAAAUCUUAUAAUUUGUGGUUAUACUUUCUUUAUCACAAGUGUUUUAGAGCAAUAAAUAUUAAUGUGAUUUAAGAAGAAAAAAAAAGAAUUCGAGAACAUUUUCUCGAAUAGACGUGUGUAAAUCGAAGUGUCAAUAUCGGAAACAUAAGAAAACUUGAGAGCUAAAAUAAAAAUUGUGUACAAUAUGCGUGAGUGCAACAAGAUUAAUUUUUACGCAAAUUUUAAUAUUUUAUAUUUUAAUAAUUUUUAUUGACUCACUCUAUAUAUUGUGUUUCCAAAUCCUUUGGUAAAGUUAUAUUCUCCAUCGUUUUUUGCAAGGAGAGGAAACGCCUCGAGCCAAGUGUCAAUGUUCUAAAAUCGAUUUACACCCACUCGAGAAUUUUUACAGGCCCUACGUGAAAAGAUGUAUGACAUGGUAGUCCGUUAUCGAAGAGCAGAUGAUGAAAUAACGAUUCCAAAAUAAUAAAUGUUGUAAGAAAUUUUUACCUUUCGCGUAAAUUUAACCCUUGCUUUACAUUUUCAUAACGAGUGAAUCUUUCUGAUUUCGUGAACGUGUAUAAAAUUGUACAUCACUAUCAUUUAAUAAAAAAUUUUUAAAUAUUAUUUUUCUGAAUCGUGAAUACGGCGGAAAAUAUAUUUUUUGAUUAAAGAUUACUUACAGAUAAAAAUUACUUAUUAUUACUUACAGAAAUUGAAUAUAUUUAGAUCGCACGAUAUGGUUGAAAAUUGUGCUCACCUGAAACAAACGAAGAAAUUAAAUUAAUUUUCAUUCCUUGCGAAUAAAUUUUUUAUUUUCAUUUUUUCCAAUUUCGUGGUGGAAAAGAAACUUAAACACGUACGAGUUUAAUUUCUCAACUGUCAUCGAUAUUAAAAAAUUCUAAACUGAAACGAAAAUACUUUUUCUUAAGUGUCGAAGAUAUUUUUAUUAUAUUACACAUUUUGUUGCUUCAAAUAUAUAGUCUUUUCACUAAUUUUUAAUAUUCUUCUUUUACAUUUCCGUAGAAAUAGAAUAUUUAUUUUCUAUUCCUCUUUAAUUGAAAGUAAUUAAUCGCCACAAUUAAAUAAGCACAAAUUAAAUAUACUAUAUGUCACUUGCACAUGUUAUUAUCUGACCAUAGCCCAGUAUUAUGACGUACAAUUUCCUAAUUCAAUCGAUGUAAUUACAUCAAUCGAUCAAAAUGCAGAGAAAUAAUAUACUUAAAUCAAAUACAUCUAAUUAAAGACCACCACAGCUUAAUCACGUGUGGUCGAGAUUUAAUCAAUAUUUAAAAUCGAAGUUAAUUUAUUAAUUAAUCGAAUAUUCGAAAUAAACGGACAACUCGAAUAAAUUCAAAAUUUUUCCAUUAUACUUUCGAUAUUAUAAAAAAAAAACUCAUACAACUUGCUUAUUCGAUAACUAGAAAAAAAUUCAGCAAAAAGAUAAAAAUUUUUUAAAUUAAAAAAAGAAAUAAAAGAACUCAAAAUUGAUAGAUACGGAUCCUACAAUUUUAACACGAUUCUAAGCAACAACGCGUCGUCGAUCACGCGAGCUUUACACCCACGAUUUCAUCUCUUAUGCCCUCGUUGUAUAUGCUGGCAAAAUGGUUGACACUCUUUCAGGGGAGCACAUAAGACGCGUGAAUGGCGGAAGCUGAUCGACGACCGAAAAGAGUUCACUCUUCUCAACGUAGAAUUUCAUUACCGGGUAAAGUUUCGACAUAAACGGGAAAUUUUUCGCUAACUUUUAUGCACUUUGAAAGUCCGCGGACUGCGACGUGGAAAACGGACAUUGAGGGUCGAAGGUAAAAAACUUCAUCCUUCCCAGGGGAAUUCAGCGAUGCCCCGAGUGAAGACAGUUGUGUAUUAGAAGACAAAGCUAUGGAAGCUAGAGAUUUAGAGCAUAAAGGACAAAAUUGUGGACAGCGAAUCUAGCAAAGUGAGAGCUAAGAAACUUUAGAUCACUCUGCUGUUCAGCAAUACUGCAAAUUUAUGGAUACGGGGAAUGAAAGCAGACUAAAAACUUUUUUAACUUUGGAUUACUGUUAUUCAGCAAUAUUGAGGAGAAAGUUAUGGAUAGCAAAAAUAGCAGAGUGAGAGCUUAGAACUUUAAACUACUGAGAGCAAAGCUAUGGACAGUAGAAUGAACAGAAUGGGGGAACUUUAAGCAAGUGCUAUUCAAGAAAUAUUGAGAAAAAAGUUAUAGAAUUAGAGUAGUGGAAGCUUGGAGAUCAGUGCUAUGGACAAUACUGAGAGAAAACUUAUGGACAACAGAAAGGAGCUUGGAACUUUAGGCCAAUUGUUCAGCCAUAUCGAGAUAAUAGAAUUAAAAGAAUGGAAAUUAGUACAAUUAUCUAUAUCUGAGAGUAAAGCUAAGCAAAUCCAGUACUACUCAUCAGUUGUCUUUGUAUAAGUCCUAUUAGAUUCAUUAUGAAUUUUGCUCCGUUAUAUAAAAAAAUUGUUUAACUAAUAAAAUGAUAAUGUAUUUUA